AAGUCGAUGACGGUGGGGAUGACGUCAAAUCAUCAUGCCCCUUAUGCUUAGGGCUACACACGUGCUACAAUGGGUAGUACAGAGGGUUGCCAAGCCGUAAGGUGGAGCUAAUCCCUUAAAGCUACUCUCAGUUCGGAUUGUAGGCUGAAACUCGCCUACAUGAAGCUGGAGUUACUAGUAAUCGCAGAUCAGAAUGCUGCGGUGAAUGCGUUCCCGGGUCUUGUACACACCGCCCGUCACACCACGGGAGUUGGAGACGCCCGAAGCCGAUUAUCUAACCUGUUGGAAGAAGUCGUCGAAGGUGGAAUCAAUAACUGGGGUGAAGUCGUAACAAGGUAGCCGUAUCGGAAGGUGCGGCUGGAUCACCUCCUUUCUAAGGAGA
rnacentral:rRNA from 1 species